AUAAUGAUACUUCCGUAAUUCGCGGCCCGGCCAUAAUGAAGGCUGGGAGGUUAGAUUCCUAUGA
rnacentral:ncRNA from 1 species